GAGUUUAGCCAAGAAUGGGAGGAGAAACAUUGGACAAUACCAAGCGGAAAUGAUAAGUCAUUUGGAACCAUGCAUCCUCACCUUCAACUGGACAAUUUUUGGAUCUUCUCUCUCCAACCACAGUUGUCAUCAAAUCAGCACAUCUAUAGCAUCUGGAAAGGGUGUGUCUUUUUUUUUUUUUUUGCUGAUCUCGGCAAUACAAGGAUCUAAGACAAUUCAAAAGGACCCAUAACUGAAAAAUGUUAUCCACCUCCAGGGAAAGAAUUGAUGGGGCAUGAAUAUGGAUAGAAGCAUACUAUUUUUCAAUUUAUUUUCUUCUUAGCUUUUUGUAUCUUUGUUGUUAUAUGAGUAUUUUUGCACAUAUGACAUGGAAAUGUAUUUUAUAAUGGUCACACAUGUGUAACCUAGAUUGUUUACCAUCCCAGUGAAAGGGGGGGAAAGGAAGGGAAGGAGAGACUUUGGAUCUAAAAAUUUUAGAAAACAAAUAUUAAAAAUUGUUAUUACAUAUAAUUAGGAAAAAAUAAAAUAUUAUGCAAAAAAAGAAAAGGUAUGCCA
rnacentral:lncRNA from 1 species